rnacentral:misc_RNA from 1 species
GAAGGAAUUUGAUGAUAAUAUUCCUGCUAGGGACUUCGAUAAUUUCCAGUUCGUCAAUUUCACGGACAUAAUGGCCAAAAAUGUGCCUCAAUCUCGAAAGGAGACGGAGUUUGCGCUUUCAGCAUUGAUGGAAAUCCCUUCACAAUACAAAGCGACGAUGGAACUUAACUUACUGGGUGGACAAAGUGGAAAAUCUGUCAAUAGGGUAGCUCUUCCUCCUCCUAUGUAUGGGGCAAGUUCUGUCGGUGGUUCAAAGACCUCACGUGCACCAAGUUUUCAGCAGCCUGCAAGCUCGUAUUAUGGUUAUGGAAGCCCUGCAGAUGCAGAACCACAUUUUCAGCCGACUUCAAGUUCUUACUACGACAGUGCUCGCCCAGUUGACAAUGCUCCAUCUGCUCCGAGUUCGCCCUACACUGCUCCCAGUUCUACCUAUGACAAUCAGGUUUGCCCCAUUUGUCUUACUAACCCAAAAGACAUGGCCUUUGGCUGUGGGCAUCAGACAUGUUGUGAGUGUGGGAGAGCGCUUGAGAAUUGCCCAAUAUGUCGAAGUUCAAUUCAAACCAGAAUAAAGCUCUAUUGAGCUGCUUGUUUUGCCCUGAUUCCUUUUGCUAUUCCAACCUGCAAUGCUUUUUGAUCAGUUUGGAUGUGAAACCAUGGUGAUGAAGCUGAUUUUUUUAUUUGUUGGAUAUGGCUUUGGCCUUGUGCUAAUGCAAAUUUCCUUCUGUACAUGGCUUGGUUCUUGUUUGUGUUUUGCUUUUGCCAAAUUACUUUACUUCCAACUAUAGAAGCGUAAGAUCCCUAGAUUCAAAUUGUCUGUAAAUCAACUGUUUAUUGUGCAGUGACCUUUAAAGAGUCUUGUGC